UUUAUGUAUAUAUAUGUAUGUGAGACAUAUAGCUUAGAUUAAAGAUAUAUAGUGUUAUGGGAUUGAGUUCUAAACAGGUUUCUAGCGAUGGUGGUCAUGGUUGGAGCCAAUCUUUGUUGCAGGCUCAAACACUACCAAAAGCUUCAAUAAUGAAGAAGCGACGCACACAAAACCAGCACCAGUAGCCAUUGAAGUGUCCUAGAUGUGAUUCUUUGAACACAAAGUUUUGUUAUUACAAUAACUACAACAAAUCACAGCCUAGACAUUUCUGCAAGGCUUGUAAGAGACAUUGGACUAAAGGUGGCACUCUCCGGAAUGUACCUGUCGGUGGUGGUCGUAAAAACCAGCGGCUGAAGCCUGGCAUCAAAGCUGCCAGCACCGCCAUUAAAACCAGCACUGCCUCUAGUGAUAAACUGAUAAUAGCAAUAGGCUGUUACUUGAUUCCUUGAUGGCAAUCCAAUGGCAGCAACAACAUCCAUUUCCACCAUUGUUGGACCGUAAUAACAUGCUAAUGGGUUCAUCUUCAUCCCUUUUGUUACCUCAAACUCAAGGCCUAGAAUUCCCAUUUUCAAGCUCAAGUUCUAGCUCCAUUUCACCAAGUAACUAUAACUACACUGGAGAAGCAAACAGUAGUCGUUCACAGACAUGGCAAGUGCCUAGUGCAAGCAUGGACAUGGCAAAUUACUGGAACCUGGAUGAUAUUGAUGAACUGGUCUCUACUGAUCUCAACAACAUACCAUGGGUUGAUUCUGAGAUCAAACCAUGAAAAGCAAAUUUUAAUUAUAUAUUCAAUGUUAAUAUGUAGGAGAUCCCUUUUUCUCAUUUACUUUUUUUUUUGGCCCCUUAGAUUGAUUAUUGUUCACAAAGCUGUGAUUUUUCAGAUUCAGCUCUGGGUUUUAGGUGGAC